rnacentral:rRNA from 1 species
AGCGAACGCUGGCGGCAGGCCUAACACAUGCAAGUCGAACGAACCUUUCGGGGUUAGUGGCGGACGGGUGAGUAACACGUGGGAACGUGCCUUUAGGUUCGGAAUAACUCAGGGAAACUUGUGCUAAUACCGAAUGUGCCCUUCGGGGGAAAGAUUUAUCGCCUUUAGAGCGGCCCGCGUCUGAUUAGCUAGUUGGUUGAGGUAAUGGCUCACCAAGGCGACGAUCAGUAGCUGGUUUGAGAGGAUGAUCAGCCACAUUGGGACUGAGACACGGCCCAAACUCCUACGGGAAGCAGCAGUGGGGAAUCUUGCGCAAUGGGCGAAAGCUUGACGCAGCCAUGCCGCGUGAAUGAUGAAGGUCUUAGGAUUGUAAAAUUCUUUCACCGGGGACGAUAAUGACGGUACCCGGAGAAGAAGCCCCGGCUAACUUCGUG